AAGCGUGCGCAGGCGGUUAUGUAAGACAGUUGUGAAAUCCCCGGGCUCAACCUGGGAACCGCAUCUGUGACUGCAUAGCUAGAGUACGGUAGAGGGGGAUGGAAUUCCGCGUGUAGCAGUGAAAUGCGUAGAUAUGCGGAGGAACACCGAUGGCGAAGGCAAUCCCCUGGACCUGUACUGACGCUCAUGCACGAAAGCGUGGGGAGCAAACAGGAUUAGAUACCCCUAGU
rnacentral:rRNA from 1 species